GUCAACAAGGGCCUGUCUUAAUAACCAAACUUGAGGCCUUUUAUCCUGGAAGAUUUAUGAAGUAAUUUUAAAGAGGCCCAAGCAAACAUCUGUCAAUAAAUUGAAUGCCGGCUACAGGAUUUACAAGCAAGACAAGAAUUUCUCAUUAAGUGCACAUUAGCACUGUGGGGAUCAUAAAUAGUAAGAGGCCAGGAUGCUGAGCCUCUCAAGCUGUCAUUAAAACACUAUCUAAGAACUAAUGAGGAAGUGAUGGAAGGAUACUAAUGAUCCCUCAGGCUCCUUACAUUCGGCAUUUUCAAAGAGGACUACGCAGUACCAGAUUUCUCUCUGUUGGGGCAGAAGGCCUUCAACACAGGAAAAUGCUUUCGGGGAAUGGCUCUGGUGCAUCUCAUCCUGCUGUCAGUUCAGAAGCUGCAGGCCACCUCUUCCACAUCCUGCAGCGAAUCAGAAACUACCAGGCAGCGCCGACUGUCUUGAAAGGGGCCAAACACUCGGCUCUGUCUUUCUUGGACAAACCCAAUCUUACAACUGAUCACAUCAAUGGAAAAUCCAGAUCGUAUACUCAUGCCAUUCAAGCGUUUCACUCAUGAGGUAUUUUUACAACCAAGAAUUACAGAACGGCCUCGGGCUAAAUAGCAGUGAGUCCCAAAUGAGUGAAUCCACUGAGGGGAGAAUCACUGAAGAAGAAAAUGAAGUUGACAAGGCUGUUGCUUCUUAAUAAACAUUAUCACAUUUUCAA